AAGCGAAACUGGCCUUAACGGGCCAGUCUGCCAGGCGGGGUUGCCUGGUACUGAUGAGCAACCAAGA
rnacentral:hammerhead_ribozyme from 1 species